GACAGUUGUGCUUUCGAGCAGCGAAAUUUAUUUUGUCUCAUUAUCAUAAAAAAGGACUCAAAAUAUACCAAAUGAUUCGUGUUAAAAGUUGGGAUAUAAUAAAGGCUUACAGCCUGAGACAGUGCUGUGCCUGUCUCAUAGUCUCCGGGAUGCAUUCCCGGCAUUUCUUAUCUUGCCCGAGAAAUGACCCCGCGAAUAAGAAAUAGUGGAUCCCAGAUUCGACUCCUACUACAGUUAAAAAAUAACGGUUUCGCAAAAUUUGUGAGAAAAAUGUAGAAACCUGAAAGUAGUGAAACAAAAACAAGGCUUUCCUUUUGUAAAUUAUUAGGAAUGUUUCAUGGAUUUCGAAUUAAUUAAGGUGUCGUUACGAUGAUUCUGUAACGACCGUGUCCUGUCUUUUAUUCAAAAUUAUGGGAAUGGAGUUAAUCAGUACGAUGAUUGAAAACAAAGAGGAUGGCCGGAUGGCUGACAAACAUUAGUACAGCAUUAUAGAAAGUUGUAACCGACAUUUUAGUCGCUCAGCUUCCAAAUUAAUCGCACUCGGAGGAACAGUGCGUGUGUUGAAAAAUCGUAUGUUUCAAUGUUAUUACGAAGUGGUUGAAAUGAUAAAAUACUGCCGAGUGGUAGCUGGGAACUAGAAUAUAUCCGACACGAGCACUUGGACCGAAGUGUCUCGACGAGCUGAUGGGUUAUACUUAUUUAUGAGAAAAGUUGAAAAUGUAUGAUGUUUAAAUGCGAAAUUCUUCUUGGCUACUGAGUUAAUAUUAUUAAGCAAGUCAAAGAGGAUACAGCAUGUAUUAUAUUGGACCUCAUUUUAAGACAACAUGGGAUUUUCUUAAAUCCAAAAAGUAUCAUAAGGAAACUUACAUAGAUUCUAGUUUAAUUUGGUAUUUCUUUGAAACCGUCAUGAUAAGUCAAGAAAUUAACGAAAAUGAUUUUUCCUAACUUUUUUUAUCCUGUUGUUUAGAUAGGUUUAGGUUUAACUUGAAAAUUAAAAAUCUAUCCAAGUUUGGAUUAAGGAUGUAGAUAUAUAUUUUUGUUAUAUUUUUACGAUUUUAGUUUUGUAUUAGUUUAUUGUUUAUGUAUUUUUAGAAUAUUUGUUAAUUUAUGAUUUAAUAAAUAAAUAACA